GCCAACGUAGCCAAGAGGUAAGGCGUCCGCUGUUCUAUUGAAUGUAUCUAGUACUCAAGAUACUAACAGCAAACUUUACAAGAGAGCAUCAAAAUCCAAUCGGAUAAUCGUAGGUUCGAAUCCUAUCGUUGGCCA
rnacentral:tRNA from 1 species